UUUCCAUUUGAGUAUCCUGAAAACGGGCUUUUCAGCAUGGUGCGUACAAGUAAAAUUAUAGGAGUGCAUAGUGGCCCGUAUAGCAGGCAUUAACAUUCCUGAU
rnacentral:sRNA from 1 species